UGGGCGAUUCAUCGGUGUGAGCUCAGUGUCAGGAUCUGCACACGGCCGUCGGUGGCACAGAAUAUAAGAAACAGUCACAGUUGAGUUUGUGGGAUGGGAUUGAGAUCUCAAUCAGUCUUGUUCCCUGUGGAGUUUUUGACCUUUUGUUUGUUUCCUGCAUGUGCACACUGGAUUAAGAAGAAGAAAAAGAACAUAUCUUUGAGGAAAGAAAUAGGUUCAACACAUUUGUUGUCAGUAUGGAUACAUACCAUGUUUUUUUUUGGUGACUGAAUGAAAAUAUAACUUUUUGUACCAUACAAGGAAACUCCAUAAGGGAACCUUUUUUCAUAAAAAGCCUUAGUUUUUUUGCUGCUUGAUGCUCAAGUCCUGUUCAUGUCUCUUUGGAAUUACUUUAGUGUGAAUAAUGAUGAAACACAAACGUAUGACAAAGCGGCGACACAAAGCGGUCAAGGGUGUCUGUGAUCAAAUGGGAAAAAGCAAAGAGUCCAGGUUUGCCUGGAGGUUCCUGACUUGAGAUUGCAGUUUGUUUAUUGGACAAACGUAGAGAGCUGGUUUCCAAAAUAUCCGCUCCUCCAUUGGUCACACACAUUGCCGCUCUUCUUAAGACCUGACCACACCAACAGUGUGAUUUCAGGUCAGAUGGGUUCAUUUCAGUGGGAUGAUGAUGAGUGGAUUCCUGCUGACCUCAGGGGGGAACAACCUGGCAGAAGCCAUUCAUAUCAACAGUGACUCACCAUAUUCAGUUUAUAUAACUAUGCUUUGCCGGAAGGAACAGUCAGCUGUGAGACUGGAACGGUUUACUCCCUCUAUUUAGCGUCCGGAUCAGCUCCUGAUCCAACAGUCUCACGCCCAAGUCGUCAGAUACAGAACAGGCACUCGGUCAGGACGCUGGGUACCAUUUUAUUUCGGAAAAUGAUACACCAGUCGAGCAGACGACAAACCGUUGCUUCUCCGCUCUGCACUGAAGUGACCCCGUGUGUCUAAAAAGUGUCACGGUCCUGACCAAGCGUCCGCAUGUGAGGAACUGGGAGCGAUCAACGCAUUGUUUGAGUAGGCGCACUUAAAGCUCCAGCUGUUCCUGAAUCACACACAAAGGUUUUUAUUGGUGUUUGAAUGAAGGAUGAACUCAUCUGAUUUUUGAGAGGAAAUUUGGAUUUAACUCUCAAAAAUAAAUGUCUAUUAGCUCAGAACGUGGAGUUGAACAAUCCUGAGUUAAAGCUCAACACAUUUAUUUUUUCUAAGGACUAUCUAAAGGCCGGACUCUCACGGCCAGACUCUAAUGACCCGUCUUCAGAGUCUUCUAAAGAUGGGUCUUGUUCUUCAAUUGGUGUCGAACCAAACAUUUGGCCAAUACCCGUUUUUGCGUUGCUUUAUCGAGGCCAGGCACAUUAUCUUUUGAGGAAAGACAGUUUACAGUGAAAUGUUGUCGUCAGCCCCCUGAACACUAGCAUGUAGCCUCGUUGAGACAAGCAAGCUGACACAAAAUUGGCCACGCCCCCCCCCCCCC